AUCAGCUUGAUGAUUAUUUCUCUUGAUAGUCAAAGUUGAACAUAUUGUUCGAUGUUGUUUCUCUUAAGAGAAAUCAUGCCAUAUAUUUUGACUCAU